rnacentral:rRNA from 1 species
AGGAAUAUUGGUCAAUGGGCGUAAGCCUGAACCAGCCAAGUAGCGUGAGGGAAGACUGCCCUAUGGGUUGUAAACCUCUUUUGUGCGGGGAUAAAGUGUGGGACGUGUCCCAUAUUGCAGGUACCGCACGAAUAAGGACCGGCUAAUUCCGUGCCAGCAGCCGCGGUAAUACGGAAGGUCCGGGCGUUAUCCGGAUUUAUUGGGUUUAAAGGGAGCGCAGGCCGUCCUUUAAGCGUGCUGUGAAAUGCCGCGGCUCAACCGUGGCACUGCAGCGCGAACUGGAGGACUUGAGUACGCACGAGGUAGGCGGAAUUCGUGGUGUAGCGGUGAAAUGCUUAGAUAUCACGAAGAACUCCGAUUGCGAAGGCAGCUUACCGGAGCGCAACUGACGCUGAGGCUCGAAAGCGCGGGUAUCGAACAGGAUUAGAUACCCUGGUAGUCCGCGCGGUAAACGAUGGAUGCCCGCCGUUGGGAUUUAGAUUUCAGCGGCCAAGCGAAAGCGUUAAGCAUCCCACCUGGGGAGUACGCCGGCAACGGUGAAACUCAAAGGAAUUGACGGGGGCCCGCACAAGCGGAGGAACAUGUGGUUUAAUUCGAUGAUACGCGAGGAACCUUACCCGGGCUUGAAUUGCAGGAGAACGAUCCAGAGAUGGUGAGGCCCUUCGGGGCUCCUGUGAAGGUGCUGCAUGGUUGUCGUCAGCUCGUGCCGUGAGGUGUCGGCUCAAGUGCCAUAACGAGCGCAACCCCUGUCCAUAGUUGCCAUCAGGUCGUGCUGGGCACUCUGUGGAGACUGCCGCCGUAAGGUGUGAGGAAGGUGGGGAUGACGUCAAAUCAGCACGGCCCUUACGUCCGGGGCUACACACGUGUUACAAUGGGGCAUACAGCGAGUUGGAUGUGCGCAAGUACGUCCGGAUCAAUAAAGUGCCUCUCAGUUCGGACUGGGGUCUGCAACCCGACCCCACGAAGCUGGAUUCGCUAGUAAUCCCGCAUCAGCCAUGGCGCGGUGAAUACGUUCCCG